AGAGCGGGGCAGUACGGCAACGGACGCUGGACUUGAACUGGCCCUGCGCACGCUACAGGCUGAGAACGGACAGGCGAACGGAAUCAUCAAUGUAAUUGCCGUCAUCACGGACGGAUUCUCAAACAACAUGCGCGCCACCUGUGAGAAGGCGACAGAAGUUAAGGCAGCUGGCGUUUCAGUGUUUGCGUUCGGCAUCACGGAGAACGUGCAGGACUCGGAGCUGGAGUGCAUCGCCUCGAAGAACGACAACAUCUACAAGAUUGCCAGCUUCGCCAGUGCCGCCAAGAUCGCCAACUUCCUACGUGCCGUCUUCUACAACUAGGUGGCGCCACCGUCGCCAACGCUCGCUCGCAGCGCCACCAAUAUCGCCAACUUCCUGCGCGCCGUCUUUUACAACUAGGUGGCGCCGCCGUCGCCAACGCUCGCUCGCAGCGCCAUCUGUCGCCAGCGCCGCCAAUAUCGCCAACUUCCUGCACGCCGUCUUCUACAACUAGGUGGCGCCGCAGUCGCCGACGCUCGCUCGCAGUGCCAUCUGUUGCGAGGGCGGUCGGUUUGUGCUGAGAACAAUACAUAUUGUUAUAUAUUGCAUAUAUUGUUCGCGGGGUUUGUGGCGCCAAAGUAGUCGGCUGUGCACGGUGGCGCACCCUGGUGUGGGUCGUCGAGCGGGAGUAAAGGUUGUGGGGAUGUCUGUAGUUAGCAGAGCGAUUUUGGCUCAAUGUGCGAGUUUGUACAGAUAUACAUUUAUAUAAAUAAAAAAAACCAUAAAUAUAUACGCCUGUCAAUAUGUGCGUGCGUGCGUAUCUGAGUGCGCGUGCAGUAACAAUCGUAUAAUGCGCUCAUCAAUGAGAGCGUGGCUACCUAUCGAUAACAUCUAAUCAAUACCUCGAUUACCUUCGAGUUCUAAGGCUUUGAAAUUUUCCUACAAAAUAUAACAGUAGCGUCAACUACGAUAGACACGAGAUCGUGACGUGUUUUGCUUGUACAUUCACUUCAUGCGCGUUCUAAUUAAGGUACGGUACCACGUGACUAACUCUGCCGCUCUGACGUCACGGCGUGUUCAUCCACUCGGGAGUGAAAUGUAGGCGUGUUUGAGAUAUAGAGCGGGAGGGGGGCGUGGCUAUGUACGCGGUUAGGGUAAAAUCUAUACGAUGCUGUGGGUAUUGUUUUUUCACAAUGAUUAAAUACAAGGUAUUAAAGCAA